rnacentral:tRNA from 1 species
GUAUACUGGUUAGUACAUUGCGUUGUGGUCGCAAUAACCCAGGUUCGAAACCUGG